rnacentral:misc_RNA from 1 species
GCAAACUUGGUCAUUUAGAGGAAGUAAAAGUCGUAACAAGGUUUCCGUAGGUGAACCUGCGGAAGGAUCAUUACCGAGUGCGGGCGCUUGCCGCCCAACCUCCCACCCGUGUCGAUUGUGUCCCUGUUGCUUCGGCGGGCCCACUGGGUCCUGCCCGGUCGCCUGGGGGUGUCGUGCCCCCGGGCCCGUGUCCGCCGGAGAGCCCUGGAACCCUGUGUGAAUUGGACGUCUGAGUGAGGGAUUAAAUCAUUAAAACUUUCAACAACGGAUCUCUUGGUUCCGGCAUCGAUGAAGAACGCAGC